UAGAGACAAAAAGUCAAUUUUUGCAAAUAGUGAAUAAAAAUUGAUCUUAUUUAAAUAGGAAUUAAUUUAUCUUUUAUGCAUUUUAUUUUUAAUUUUUUUUAAUAAAUAGUGAGACUGGGCAGAACAGAAAUGGUGUUUACUUUUCAAUGUUUUUCAGUAACCAUAAAUGAAAAAUUUUUAUGCAUAGGUGGUUUAUGUAUGUUAAUAUUUUAUGUAAGAAAAGUUACUUGUGUUACACAAUUAGAAUAAAUGCUUAUAAAUAUUUUUUAAGUUUUGUGUAAUGAAGAACACAUCUAUAAAGAAGACUCAGUGUUGCCAAGCAUCAAAAUAAUAGUGUCCCAAUUAUCCCAGUUCUCUCUGGUCUCCCCUAUUAUCAUUUACAACAGAAAUUUAGAUAAAAAGAAAUUUGGUGGAAAUAAUUUAAUAAGAAAAGCUUGCAUAAAUCGAAGAUGUCGGAAACCACAAAUGCCGUCUUAUCCCAAAUCUGUAGGAUUAAGAAAACGACAAUCAUUAAAUUUAAGUGGAGAGUCAAAUCAAGGAAGUAAUGAAGUAAAAGGUGCCAUUAUUUAUAAUUCAAAUGAACUAAAUGAUAAUUAUGUUACAAUUCAAUCUUCAAAUGAACCAAAGGUACAAAAUAUA